UACGUAGGGUGCGAGCGUUGUCCGGAAUUACUGGGCGUAAAGAGCUCGUAGGUGGUUUGUCGCGUUGUUCGUGAAAACCGGGGGCUUAACCCUCGGCGUGCGGGCGAUACGGGCAGACUUGAGUACUGCAGGGGAGACUGGAAUUCCUGGUGUAGCGGUGGGAUGCGCAGAUAUCAGGAGGAACACCGGUGGCGAAGGCGGAUCUCUGGGCCAUUACUGACGCUGAGGAGCGAAAGCGUGGGGAGCGAACAGG
rnacentral:rRNA from 1 species